UAGGGAAUAUUGGGCAAUGGGCGAAAGCCUGACCCAGCGACGCCGCGUGAAGGAAGAAGGCCUUCGGGUUGUAAACUUCUGUCAAAGGGGAAGAAAGGCACCUUCGGGUGUCUGACCGCCCUGAGAGGAAGCUCUGGCUAAACACGUGCCAGCAGCCGCGGUAAUACGUGUAGAGCUAGCGUUGCUCGGAUUUACUGGGCUUAAAGGGUGUGUAGGCGGCUUUAUAAGUAAGGUGUGAAAUCCAACGGCUUACCCGUUGAACUGCACUUUAUACUGCAAAGCUUGAGGAUCGGAGAGGAUAGCGGAAUUCUGGGUGUAGCGGUGAAAUGCGUAGAUAUCCAGGAGAACGCCGGUGACGAAGGUGGCUAUCUGGCCGAUUACUGACGCUGAAACACGAAAGCUAGGGGAGCAAACG
rnacentral:rRNA from 1 species